UCAUUAUGUUCCUUUACAUAAACAGCACACAUUAACGCGAAUAUUUCAGGAACGUAAUGCAUGUCAUCGUGUUGUAAAUGGUGUAUGUUUACAUUGAAAUGUAACUUUGAAAAAUAAGAAAUUGUCAUCUCAAACUUAAGUUUGUCGCGAACGGGAAGUGAGAUUGCAGCCGAUCAAAACAAACAACAGACUUGCAUGUCAGCUCUUUUAGCUACCAAGCUAAUCAGCAUAGACAGGCUGUCUGUCAUUGGCAGUUGUCAACAACAACAACACUAUUUAGCUGUAUCGAAUAGGUGUAAAACUAGUGACAGAGGGCCACCGGGAUGACUAGUGUGCUGUGUGGCCGAGCCCGGCUGGUGAUGACCCAGUCGUCAGGGCGUCAGGCCCUAGCUGCACUCAGGGUGGGCUGGAUACGAACCUUCUCAGCUGCUGGUUCUGAUGAGCCUUAUUUUGUCGUGUCACGGGGGGACUCAGACUCGGGCCCUAGGACAGUAUGGCCUGAUGAGAACAUGGGACCAUUUGGCCCCCAGGACCAGCGCUUCCAGUUGCCAGGUAACUCAGGCUUUGACUUUCACCUGGAAGGCAUGGCAGACCAGAGGAUUAAAGGCCCAGUCCACAGGACGGUACCUGACGCGUUCUGACUGCUGCUACUAGCAACGAGAGACAUGAGUUUGUAAUGGCCCAGUUUGUCAGCGAGUUUCAGGUUAAAAUUGGUCACAUGUUAUCGAGGAGCGUCCGCAAGGCAGAGCACUACUUUGAUCAGCCCAAUGUGGACUGUUCUAUACAGACCUGUCCUGAGCUGCUGAAGAAAGAGUUUGAAUCCUAUUUCCCCUCGGCCCCAGCCAGCGCCAUCACUGUUGUCACGGUGAAACACACGAGAUGUGAGGUGAUCGACAAAGACGUGAUCGACAGAGAACAGCUACUUCACAAGUUUGUUAGUGGUGCUAAGGAAAUCUGCUUUGCUCUGUGGACAGCUGGCUUCUGGGCUGACUUCAUUGACCCCUCAUCAGGAUCAGCUUUCUUUGGCUCUCACUCCAACCACCCACUACUCAAAGAGGAGGAGUGGAGCCGUCUCGGUUUCCACAUCGAGGCCUCUGGAUCCUGCACAGUUAUCCGUCACGUCCUGAGGGGAACACCCACGUUUGUUGGUACUGUUUUCACCACUGCACCUGCUAACAGUCACGUCAUGGAAAGACUUCAAGGCCAGUCAAGUGCAUUUGAAGACGGGGACUAGUUUUUAUAUUUUAUUAUCACCAUGCGAGAAUGAUGUAUCUCACUAUCCAAAAGACUGUUUGAGCCCUGACCUCUGUUUGAUGAUGUAGCUCACUAUCCAAAAGACUGUUUGUGCCCUGACCUCUGUUUGUUCACUCUGGAUUGUUUUGGAGGAAAAGCGUUGCCCAUUAUGCCGUUGUCUUCACCACACCAGCAUGGAGAGGAAGUUCUCAUGGGUUGUUGUCUUCAGACGCAUGCCUAACUAUGUUAACCUGGUCCCAGAUCUGUUUGUGUCGUUCUGUUAGUGCUGUCUUGCCAAAGUUGGUCAGAGGACACAAACAGAUCUGGGACCAGGCUAUAUAACUAUGUACUUGGAAGUAGACAGGUAGGUUGCGUACAGUAGUGCUGCGAUCUGUCGUUGACUCUGAUGAUAUAAAGACUUGACUGAGGAAGAUCCCUCUGACAGCUGUGUUUAAACACCCAAUAAACCACCUAGCUACCUUUGACUGAGGGCCCUUUUCCUGGCCUUGGUGCUGAAGAGCCGUGAGAUAUCACUCCGAAGGCAAUGUUCCGCAUUCACGGUUAACGCUGCAUAUCUCAGUUCAAUCUGAAAUAAUCUUUACAUUUAUAUCGUGCUGUAACACUCAAAUUCAGCACUACGGAUUGAAUCUAGUCUAAUAUAGUUAACACUUUCAGACUAAUCUAGUGUCUACAGAGUAUUGCUACUGUACAGGGUUUUCCUUCACUUGCACAAUGGGAAUAGAAAUAUGGUGUCUUGGAGGAGUCUUGUACAUUUCCACCAAAAUGAAUUAAAAUGUCUACGUUGCUGGUAUGGUACACAUCA